rnacentral:lncRNA from 1 species
CUACGAGUUUGCUGUUCAACACCUACAAUAAUCUGAAUGUUCACUCCCAACUGAAGACACUCCUUUCCACUGGAACUUAGCAAGACUGGUGGCUAACGGCCCAAGAUGUAAGCCGGCCAAAGGGUCAUCCAGCACAACCUACUUUUCAAGCUCCUCCCACGGUCGUGAACCACAAGCUCCUCCCACUGCCGGCCAACAUGUUCUAUCAACUUUGAUCAUAUCCCCCUUUUGCAAUUUAUUUUUUUUAAGUAUUUCGGGGAAUUAGAAAGAAACAUUCAGCUAGCUUAAUUUAGAAGUGAAACAUGAUUAAAUUGCAGAAAAUAGGUUGCCAUUGUGAUGUCACAGGCGGGACCCGCUGUCGCCUGUCGGUGUAACCUAUUAUCAUUUGUCUUACUGGAUUUUGUUUCUUUUGGUAUAUGCCGGAAGAAACCUUGCAACCGACCGACCAAGCGGCUAACGAGCCGAUCAGUGAUGAAGAGGAUAAAAGUAAAAAGUAAUUGUGUAACUUCCAAUAACUUUCAUUAGAUGGAGUUUGGUUAGUAGACCAAGGAUUAGUUGAUAAAUGUUGUAUUUAC